AAUUUGGAUGCUGGGAGCCAUUUCAACCUUCAUUAAGUAAUGCUAUAGCAAUAGGGUAUAUGUCAAACGUCACAUGACCAAACCGGAAAACUGGUCUCAUUGCAUCCGCUUGUCAGAGAACAGCAGUAUGAACUGAUGGCAUAUCUACGGACUUUUAAGGCCUGUAGGUGGCUUUAGGGGCUUAACUGGCCCUUGUGAAGCUCAGCAGGUCAGUGUUUCGUUUCUGAAUCUGCACACGCCGGUGAUGUCAGCCAUUGACGUGACUCACCUUGCAUUUCCUGCCAUCCACCGUCUCCUCGUCAAACUCUUCUCCGAUACGGAAGUUGAUUUCAGUGGUGCGUACGGAGGUGGAGGUCUUGAUGUAGAACUGCUCUCCGUCCUGUCGGAUCUCCACGUGCGGUUUGGCUGCAGCAGCACCGGCCACUUUCCGGAGCAUCGCGUUCACACCUGGGAUGAACAGUUUUUAAGAAAGACGUGAGCGGGUUGAGCGAGUUCAUCUUUUCUACUUCUGAAAAUGGUUUUUCUCAUUCUGGGUGUUCCUCGGCUCAUUCCCGUACCCACCUCAGAGGGAUUCAGCCUUUGGGGUUUAAAACCAGCAACAUCUGUGAGAAUUUACCACAUUAACAGCAGUUUGCAUCCAAAAAACACUGUUAUGCAGCUUUAUGCAAAAUCAAAUCCAUGCAUGAUCUCAUAAAAUAGUGUGACGGCUCAAUUUUAAACCUGCGAAUUGGUAAGAGAUCAUUUUUAAAAUCUGCAUUUGCUCUCCUUGGGAGAAAAAGGAGACUUUUUGCUUAAGAAAAUUUGUCCUCUCUUAUGACUGAAAAGUCAGAGAUCUGAUCAAAGACCGAAUGAUCUGAGCUGCAUUUUUCAUUUUAUUUUUAUUAUUAUUAUUAUUAUUAUUUGUGACUAUUUUUGAGACAGUGUUUCAUUGCGAAUGAAAACUAAAACCAUUAAAAUCUUUUUUGUUAAAUGAAAUAAAGCUGAAAUAAAAUAAAACAAAUAUUUUGUCAUAUAUUAUUAUUAUAUAAAGAAAAAUAAAUAUUAAUUAUAAACUUUUUUUUUAAAAAUGUUAAUGAAAAUCAGCAAUAUUGCCUUGGAAACUAACUGAAAUUAGGAAAUUUUCAUUUUUCUUUAUAAUUUUUCUGUAUGUGAAUCUUUUUUUAUUUGUGACUUUUUUGGACA